GUUUCGUGCGCCGGCCGGAGGUGGAUCGGAGGAAUUCGCCAGUACUCCAGUACGCGCCGCGCUGCCUUGCCGGCAAGUUGUAUCACGUAGUGACGUAGGUUUUCCUUCCCUCAUUUCUCCGUCGCAAUACGGAUAUCCAGAAAUUCCUCUCCGAGAAAAAGCUUCUUCUUUCACCAAAGAAGAGGAAAAACCCUCCUCUAUCUCUCUCUCUUCCUCGAAGAGGAGCACCAGCUCGCGACCCCGAGGGUGUCCGAUGAUACCCUCCGGUACCAAGAAGAGGGCGAUCAUCUCCCAGGAGCAACGAGGGCAUCGUCGAAGGUCGUCGCGGGCCCAGAACAAAGUCCCCCGGUCAGCCGGAGGUCACGAGGAACCCACGAGGUGCCGUCACGCUCGCGAGGAGCAGCGAUCAUCGGCGUCGUGAUCGGUGACGACGCAGAGGAGAGCCGCGGACUCGUCAUCGGCGCGCCACAGCAGCAGCUCGCGCGGCGGGCCAAGUUUCUAUCAAAACAUGGCCACGUGACCCCCGGACGGCACCGCUUGUAAACACAGAGUUUGACCACGUGGUCCGCUCCUCCCUCCUUCCCCGUCUAUCUAUCUAUCUCUCUCUCUCUCUCUCUGUUCUUGUCCUCCCUCCCCGCGUUCAACCGCCGUUAUCGCCGUCAUCGUCGCCGUCGCAGCUCUUCUCCUUCUACGAGCCUCUCGCUCGCUCGCGCGCUCUUUCGGCACGCAGAACACACCGCGGAAUCCUCAGUUGGUUCAUCGCCGCCGACAGCCGCACGUCAUCGCGAGCUCCGAAAGAGUUUCCGCGCCCUUUCAUCGUGGCCGAUCGUGGCUCGGCUCCAUUCGGGUUAGGUGAUAAUGAUGAUGAUGAUGAUGAUGAUGAUGAUAAUAAUGAUGAAGAUGAUGAUCAUGAUGAUGGUGUGUUGAGAAGCCCCAGGUGAGCGGGCAAGAAAAGACACUCAGCAGCUACACACAUAUACUCUCGCAUCUAUACAUAUACUCUAUAUAGAUAUACAUCUAUAUAUAUAUAUAUAUCUGGUGAUAGUGCGAAACGCAAUCUGGAUCAUCGGCCCUAGUUUCCUCGAUUAUUCGGAUCACCAUCGCGGACUCCAGGUGGACUCGCAACAUGAUGGAUUCGGUGCCGGUCUCGGCGACGGGGACGUUGAACCCGUCGCAGCAACAGCAACAGAAGAAGGGAGUCUCCUUCGAGUUCUCGACCUCGCCGGAUCUGGAGACCGGCUUCGAGCCGCAGACCAGGGCCCGGUCCAACACCUGGCCGCUCCCGCGACCGGAGGGCUACGUCGAGGGCAACGCGCCCGCGACGAAGGAGGGCGCGGAGGGCGGCACGCCGCCCCAUCAGACCCAGCUGGCCCAGGGUGGUCUGCUGCCGGUGAAGAAGAACUCGUCGAGGAGGAACGCCUGGGGCAACCUGAGCUACGCGGACCUCAUCACCCAGGCGAUCACCAGCGCGCCGGACCAGCGGCUCACCCUCUCGCAGAUCUACGAAUGGAUGGUCCAGAAUGUGUCCUACUUCAAGGACAAGGGCGACAACAAUAGCAGCGCCGGCUGGAAGAAUUCUAUACGUCACAACCUGUCGCUGCACAGCAGGUUUAUGCGAGUGCAAAACGAGGGCACCGGCAAGAGUUCCUGGUGGAUGAUCAACCGAGAUGCCAAACCGGGCAAAUCCGCUCGUCGCAGAGCCACCACUAUGGAGAGCACCGGAAGUCUGGAGAAGCGACGCGGCCGCUCGAAGAAGAUCGCCGACGCGCUGAGAAACGGCGGCGGACUCUUGGAACCCACGUCUAGUCCCAGCAGUAGCGUCGGCGAGGGUCUAGAUUUGUUCCCGGACAGUCCCCUGCCACCUGCCAGCGGAUUCCAGCUCUCCUCUGACUUCCGUCCUCGUGCUUCAAGCAACGCCUCUUCCUGCGGCCGAUUGAGUCCUAUCCCGGCGGUUCUCGGGGAACCAGACUGGACGCCGACCUACGCGCCUUCCUACAGUCCGGAACAGCAACUAGCAGACACGAUCCUAGCGGGCAACCUGGCAGAGACGAUGAAACUGGAACCCUACCAAAUCUAUCAGACGUCACCGCCGGCCAGCCAUCAGCAGCAAACCGGGCCACCGCCGCCUUACUACGAAGCGCAAUAUCAGAGGAACAACGGCCUACGUACCCCAUCGUCGGCAUCCUACAGUCUGCCACCUACCCCGCAAUCAGCCAAUCAGCAGAGAUGCCCGCUUCACAAUCUACAGCCGUGCGCCUGUCAGAUGAACCUGAGCCCCGGAAUGUCACCAUCCGGCAUGUCGCCCUCGUACCAGCAGAGCGAGCCUAGCCCUACGACGCUCAACAGCAAUCAGCAGCAGACGCUCCAGUAUAUGAUUCAAACGCAGCAGCGCCAGCAGCAGCAGCAGCAGCAGCAACAGUCGCAGCACCAGCCGCAGCACCAGCCGCAGCAUCAGCCGGCGCAAACUGGACCAGCUGGUCCCAGUCCGCCCAACACGCCGACACCCUGUCCAGCGACACCCAGCACCAUGAUGGGCCAGCUGAUGGGCGCGCUCAAUCAUUCCGCCCUCCUCGACGAUCUUAACAUCAACAUCGAGGCGAUGCACGGCGGCUUCGACUGCAACGUCGAGGAGGUAAUCAAGCACGAGCUGUCAAUGGGCGGCACGCUGGACUUCAAUUUCCAGCAGGGUGUGAUGGGCACGGUGCAGGUGAGCGACGGCAACGUCGUCGGCCAGAACGGCGGCGUCGUCUCCCAGAACGCGGGCGUCGUCGUCGGCACGACGACCGGAAACGCGCCCGCGGGCGUCUACGUCAGCACGAACGCGGCCACCCCCGCCGCAACCCCCUCGUGGGUUCACUAGCAGUUAACCCCCCUGCCCUCGACACCCCGUCGUCCUUGCCGAUGCCGCCGUUGUCCGACGGAUCGCUGGAUAACUUCCGCGGGACGACCGAAGGGCAGCUCAUCGGUCAAGGUUUAGACAUUCGCACGCCACGAGGGAUUUUUCCUAUACCCUUCGCACCAAUUUUCAACUAUUUCAAGGAUUUCUUCAACUAUUUACUAUUUAGGAUUUCGAAAAUUACCAACUAUAAAUUCUAUGAAUUAUUUGACCAACGAGAAAAAUUUCCUAUUUUGUAAGUAUAACGAAAAAUUUUUCUAUUCUGUAUUUUUUAACUAUUUCAUAUAUACAGAGUGUCCCAGAACUGGCGGACGAAUUUUUAAUGGCGGAUUUUUCCUCCCCUUCGCACAAAUUUUCAACUAUUUCAAGUAUUUCUUUAACUAUUUACUAUUUAGGAUUUCGAAAAUUACGAACUAUAAAUUCUAUGAAUUAUUUGACCAACGAGA